rnacentral:tRNA from 2 species
GGGCCCGUCGUCUAGAGGUUAGGAUAUCGCCCUUACGAGGCUAUACCGAAUCCCGGGUUCAAAUCCCGGCGGGCCCA